AUCGGGUCCCGGUUCCGGACCCAGAGUCAUCUACCCUUCGCCAUCACCAGCCCGUGUCGGCAGUCAUGCCCCCUCUCCCCAUCAUCAGUUAAUUAGCCGGACAAUGCUUUCCUUCAAGCCAUUCGUGAUAUCUCCACUCUGCUAUUAGUAAUUUACUGCAAGCGGACUUAACUCUUCAGAAUAAUCAAAUGGAACAGACGACGAAAACACUGCCAAAGUUAUUGCCAUUCGCAGGGGGAUCAAAUACGAGUCUGCUUCUGACGCUGCCUGUUGCUCGGGGCGAGGAUGUGCGUUAUAGAACGGACUCACUCUUAUGAUGUGGGCGUGGUCUCGCCCGUAGCCGCUUCUUAGCCUAUCCUUCGGGAUAGCGCCGGUUCGUUAGCUUAGCUUUUAUUUAUUCGUUUCGAGUCGCUUGUAUGUUUAAAGAUUACAUUUCUGUACCUCGGCACAACUGAUUUUACACGGGCUAUUUAUUUUUAUUGGGCCCCAUUUUAAAUGC